UACAGGGGGGGCAAGCGUUGUUCGGAAUUACUGGGCGUAAAGGGUUUGUAGGUGGCCACUUAAGUCAGACGUGAAAUCCCUCAGCUUAACUGGGGAACUGCGUCUGAUACUGAGUGGCUUGAGUGCAGGAGAGGAACGCGGAAUUCCAGGUGUAGCGGUGAAAUGCGUAGAUAUCUGGAGGAACACCGGUGGCGAAGGCGAGUCCCUGGACAACACCUGACACUGAGGCACGAAAGCUAGGGGAGCAAACAGG
rnacentral:rRNA from 1 species